UGGGGAAUUUUGGACAAUGGGCGAAAGCCUGAUCCAGCAAUGCCGCGUGUGUGAAGAAGGCCUUCGGGUUGUAAACCGCUUUUGUCAGGGAAGAAAUCUUCUGAGUUAAUACCUCGGGAGGAUGACGGUACCUGAAGAAUAAGCACCGGCUAACUACGUGCCAGCAGCCGCGGUAAUACGUAGGGUGCAAGCGUUAAUCGGAAUUACUGGGCGUAAAGCGUGCGCAGGCGGUUUUGUAAGACAGAGGUGAAAUCCCCGGGCUCAACCUGGGAACUGCCUUUGUGACUGCAAGGCUUGAGUGCGGCAGAGGGGGAUGGAAUUCCGCGUGUAGCAGUGAAAUGCGUAGAUAUGCGGAGGAACACCGAUGGCGAAGGCAAUCCCCUGGGCCUGCACUGACGCUCAUGCACGAAAGCGUGGGGAGCAAACAGGAUUAGAUACCCUGGUAGUCCACGCCCUAAACGAUGUCAACUGGUUGUUGGGAAGGUUCCUUCUCAGUAACGUAGCUAACGCGUGAAGUUGACCGCCUGGGGAGUACGGCCGCAAGGUUGAAACUCAAAUGAAUUGACGGGGUCAUAGCUG
rnacentral:rRNA from 1 species